rnacentral:rRNA from 1 species
GACGUAGGGCGCGAGCGUUGUCCGGAUUUAUUGGGCGUAAAGAGCUCGUAGGCGGCUUGUCGCGUCGUCUGUGAAAUCCCGUGGCUCAACUGCGGGCUGGCAGUCGAUACGGGCAGGCUGGAGUUCGGUAGGGGAGACUGGAAUUCCUGGUGUAGCGGUGAAAUGCGCAGAUAUCAGGAGGAACACCGGUGGCGAAGGCGGAUCUCUGGGCCUUACCUGACGCUCAGGUGCGAAAGCUAGGGGAGCGAACAGG